rnacentral:lncRNA from 1 species
GGAAGAGGCCGCCCGCUAGCUUCUCCGCCGUCCCCCGGCCCCGGCGCUGUGGGGCGCCUCCUGGACGCAGGUUUACCUAACACUGUAAAGAGAACGUUCAAUGAAAUACAAAGAAAAAGAUGAUUUUUUUGCUCCAAGAGAAUUAUUCCAGCCUUGGGGUGGAGUGGGUGUGGACAGUGAGCAGAAAAACAAGAAACCAAGUUCUGGGAGGAAAUAAAAUGAAUAUAAUCAGUGGAAAAUUCAGCAACGCAAUAUUGUGUGACAACAGUAAAUGACCAAUUUAUAAUUUAAAUUCUAUGAAAAAGAGAUUUAGAAGAGAGUUCUACCAAACCCACUGUUCCCUAGGGAAUAAAAUGAGUAACGCUGACUGGCAACAGUGCAUCCUGAGGGAGCCUGGAGAAACAACAGCAGCCUCCGACCUCAAGAUAUCCUGGUAGUGCUGUGACAGUGUCUUAAGUAGGGCAUGUUGAUAGAUGGAAAAGGACGGCAAACUCGAGGUGCUGAUUCAGGAAGAAGCAGAUUCCAAGAUGGAAGAGAAAAUAUCGAGAGAAAUAUGCCGAGAGAAGAAUCCAGGCAGAAUGGAAUCCAGGCAGAAUGGUGAAUGGAAGGUUCGGGUGACCAAGAGAAAGGAAGGGUGACUCAGCAAGUCUGUAGUUUCAGCUCUUGUAUAGUACGUUAUACUUGAAAAGCUGAAGCCUUUUCUCGGGGAAGAGUCAGAACGGCCUGGAGGGCUUGCUAAAGCGCUGCUGGCUGGGCCCCGCCCGCUGAAUGACUAAUGGAGACUCUGAGGGCCGGCUGGUAAUUUGAGUUUCUAACAAGCCCUGUUUCGAUGCUGGUACAGCCGAUCUAGGGAAAAUAUUGGAACAAGGAAAAAACUAAGAAGAAAUUUUAAAAAGUAAUCAAAGGCGGCCAAGUGAGGUGGCUCACGCCUGUGAUCCU